rnacentral:rRNA from 1 species
UACGUAGGGUGCAAGCGUUAAUCGGAAUUCCUGGGCGUAAAGCGUGCGCAGGCGGUUGUGCAAGACAGAUGUGAAAUCCCCGGGCUCAACCUGGGAAUUGCAUUUGUGACUGCACGGCUAGAGUGUGUCAGAGGGGGGUAGAAUUCCACGUGUAGCAGUGAAAUGCGUAGAGAUGCGGAGGAAUACCGAUGGCGAAGGCAGCCCCCUGGGAUAACACUGACGCUCAUGCACGAAAGCGUGGGGAGCAAACAGG